UAAUACGGAGGGUGCAAGCGUUAUCCGGAUUCACUGGGUUUAAAGGGUGCGUAGGUGGGUUGGUAAGUCAGUGGUGAAAUCUCCAGGCUUAACUUGGAAACUGCCAUUGAUACUAUCAAUCUUGAAUACCGUGGAGGUCAGCGGAAUAUGUCAUGUAGCGGUGAAAUGCUUAGAUAUGACAUAGAACACCAAUUGCGAAGGCAGCUGGCUACACGAAUAUUGACACUGAUGCACGAAAGCGUGGGGAUCAAACAGGAUUAGAUACCCUGGUAGUCCACGCCCUAAACGAUGGAUACUCGACAUACGCGAUAUACUGUGUGUGUCUGAGCGAAAGCAUUAAGUAUCCCACCUGGGAAGUACGAUCGCAAGAUUG
rnacentral:rRNA from 1 species